GGGUCUCCGCGAGGCAUGACUGUCGAAAUGCACAGUCAAAGACGGAGAAGCUUUCGAGCAACAUCGCUCUCGUGUUUGGCCUUGGCUUCACGGGAAACACUGCGAUGCGAGUCUUGGUCAGCUUUUUAAUGGCACUCAGCCUGAUUGCACUUAUGCCACGGUGCCAGGGUCAAGGCGUGCAGGACCUCCUCCCUGCCUUAGUAGAAAAGAUCGCUGGGUUGUGGCACUCGGAUGAGGUGGAGUUCUUGGGCCACAGUUGCAGGUACAGUCAGCGCCCUUCCUUCUAUAGGUGGGAGCUGUACUUCAAUGGAAGGAUGUGGUGUCCAGGAUGGGCUCCCUUCACUGGCCGAUCUCGGACCCGCAGCCCCUCCGGCGCCAUAGAGCACGCGACGAGGGACUUCGUGCAGAAGGCGCUGCAGAGUAAUCUCAUCACGGAGGAAGACGCCAGGAUUUGGCUUGAGCACUAAGUCCUUUGCUGAAAGUCAUUCCCAUUUCUGUUGAGACGGUUAAGGCAAGAGUGAUAUUUGUAAAUCAUAAAUAAUGAUUAAAAAAAUCAAUACUUUAA